UAGGGAAUCUUCGGCAAUGGACGAAAGUCUGACCGAGCAACGCCGCGUGAGUGAAGAAGGUUUUCGGAUCGUAAAACUCUGUUGUUAGAGAAGAACAAGGACGUUAGUAACUGAACGUCCCCUGACGGUAUCUAACCAGAAAGCCACGGCUCACUACGUGCCAGCAGCCGCGGUAAUACGUAGGUGGCAAGCGUUGUCCGGAUUUAUUGGGCGUAAAGCGAGCGCAGGCGGUUUCUUAAGUCUGGUGUGAAAGCCCCCGGCUCAACCGGGGAGGGUCAUUGGAAACUGGGAGACGUGAGUGCAGAAGAGGAGAGUGGAAUUCCGUGUGUAGCGGAGAAAUGCGUAGAUAUAUGGAGGAACACCAGUGGCGAAGGCGGCUCUCUGGUCUGUAACUGACGCUGAGGCUCGAAAGCGUGGGGAGCAAACAGG
rnacentral:rRNA from 1 species